UGAUCCUGUGUGAGCAGCGUAGGCUCUGGUUGGUUAGUCUUAGGUAUCCAGAUGUGAUCCUGUGUGAGCAGCGUAGGCUCUGGUUGGUUAGUCUUGAGGAUCCAGAUGUGAUCCUGUGUGAGCAGCGUAGGCUCUGGUUGGUUAGUGUUGAGGAUCCAGAUGUGAUUCUGUGAGCAGUGUAGGCUCUGGUUGGUUAGUCUUGAGGAUCCAGAUGUGAUCCUGUGUGAGCAGUGUAGGCUCUGGUUGGUUAGUCUUAAGUAUCCAGAUGGGAUCCUGUAUGAGCAGCGUAGGCUCUGGUUGGUUAGUCAUGCUCUUAGGCAUGACCCACCUGUAGGGUCCCACACUGGCCAAUGUUGGGGCAUAACACAGCUCUACAUUUUAUGAAAAUGCCCUUGUUCCUCUCCCAUACCUGAUCCCUUCAGAUAAAACACCAGGGUGCAAGGAGGGGCAGAGUGGAGAGGGGCGAGGUCUGUACCCUGAGAUGCCCCCGUUUCAUGGCCGUGGAGGGAGAACCACCACCCCCCACGUGGGGAGGAGGGAAUUCCUGUACCUUAGGCAGUGCCGGACGGGUGAGAGCCCUGAGUGUCCUUGUUGACCUCCAGAUCCUCUUCACAGCAUGCAGAGCGGUCCUGGCAGCUGCUGCAAUCUGGCACUCCUGGGGCAGCUGCUGCGAUCCGGCACUGAUGAGGCAGCUGCUGUGAUCCGGCAUUCAUGGGGCAGCUGCUGCGACCCGGCACUCCUGGGGCAGCUGCUGCUUGUGUGUGUGCUGCUCCUUUGUGUACCAUGAAAACAGACCAGGGACACGGCUGGUCCUGAUGUUCUGUGGCGCUUGGCCCUGUCACUGGCGCUUCUUGGAUGAGGCCCUUAAACACACACAGUGGCAGAGCAAGACUUCAUGUGAGUGACACGAAUGUGUGUCCUCUGGCUGCAGCAAUCCUGGGUUAUGUUUUUUGUGGCCAUCAGGGCAGCAGCUGCUUGGUGACUGUUUCUGUGGUGUUGAAUCCCCACGGUAUAAAGGUAAUCUACAACGAGGUGAACAAUAAAUCCUGGAUGGACAGACCCGUGCACCUUCAUAUUACGUGUUUGAAAUCCUGGAUGGACAGACCCGUCCACCUUCAUGUCACGUGUUUGAAAUUCUGGAUGGACAGACCCAUGCACCUUCAUGUUACGUGUUUAAAAUUCUGGAUGGACAGACCCGUGCACCUUCCUGUCACAUGUUUGAAAUCCUGGAUGGACAGACCUGUGCACCUUCAUGUCACGUGUUUGAAAUUCUGGAUGGACAGAGCCAUGCACCUUCAUGUUACGUGUUUGUUGUGGAGAGGAGUGGGUUGUGCCAUGUUUCUCUUGUGGGAUUGAGUGUGGCUAUUUAGCUCAUCUGUUGCCACCUUUAAUUGUUGGCAUUGACACUAAAGGUCAUCAGAUUAGCGGGAACCAGCUUGUGGGGUUGUAGCGGCUCCUGGACUGGUCUCAGGUGACAUCCUGAUUGGCUGAAAUAAGUCCUGCAGGUCUCUGCUAGAACUGACUCACAGUUGCCUGAGUCCAGAACUUGUGGGUCACAGGUGACGCCAGGACUGCAUCAUCCUGGUGCUCGGACUCCUAGUGACAGCAUCCUGAGCAGGCGGUAGCCCAGACACCACCCUGCCUGAUAUGCCCACUGUUGGUGGAGACAUCACCCCAGCACAGACCUCAAUUAAGACGACUACCCCUCCGACGACUCCCCCUCCCUUCACUGGAGGUGACUUCACGCACUUCUUCAGAACCUCCUCAGCAGCGAUGCCCAUGGACUGGGGUUCCUAAGGCACAAAUUUGAUAUUUGAGAUUCUGUGAUGAGCUGAGCUUGCUGUCCGCUAACCCGUGAUCCUGGUGUAAUCUCAACCAAAACCCACAGCCCUGCACCCCUUGCCUGUAGGAAAAUCUGGUAGGAGUUAGUAGUGUCUGUGAAGUCUCAAUAAUUGAUACCAAAAUGUUUUGUUUCACCAGGAGGUGCCCGCCUCCUAUCAGCCUCUGGGAAGGCCACUGUCUCCCCAGUGCCUUCUCCUCCGCUGCAGCUUUCCAUCUCAUCUCCUUACUCCCUUGACUUGGCUUCACACAGAGCCUCUUCUUUACACAUACUAACUGUUUGCUUCAUACCCUCCUGCAGCAGAACUACAGACCUGCCAUCCUGAUAAUUGUCAAACUCAUCCCUUUAUCACCUUUAUAACUCCUCAAGGAUAUUAUCAUUGGACCCCCAACAUUUCAAAGUGAUUUUCUUGAGUAAUACCAUAUGCUGUGAUGUGGAUGUGAUUGGUUUGCCCUCAUCAAGUCUCAUGUUGAGCUUUGACCCUCAGUGUGGCAGUGCUGGGAGGGGGCCUGGUGGGGGUUUGGGUCAUGGGGGCACCCUCCUGAAUGGUUGGAUACCAUUCAUUCUUGCUGUGUCAAGCCUGGAUUGGUUUGUAGGGGAAUGCACUAGUUACUGGGAGCAUGGUUGUGAUAAAGCCAAGCCGUCCCUCGGGUUUGGCUCACUGCCCUUGACCUUCUCUGCCCUGUUUGACACAGCAAAUAGUCCUCACCAGAAGCAGGUCAGAUGCCAGUGCUAUGCUUGCACAGCCUGCUGAACCAUGAGCCAAAUAAGCCUCUUUCUAAGUUACCCACAGCCUCAGAUAUGUAGCAACACAGACAGACUAAGACACCAAGCAUGAUGGAAAACUGGGUUAUGGGCAGGACUGCAAGUACUGGUUAGGCAGAUACCUGUAUUUCUCUUCCUAACUCUCAGAACGUGUUCUGUGUCACUUAGGGCAACUUAUGCCCUCCUGUGUGAAAAUCUCC
rnacentral:lncRNA from 1 species